AGACCUGCCAUAACCGCUUGAUCC
rnacentral:siRNA from 1 species